ACACACGUACGUUAUGACCACUUUUCCUGUGUCUGAUGCUUGUUGAACUGUGCUACUAAGGUUGAUCCAGAACUUGUUCACGCAUUUUCUCACUGUGUGUUUAACGGUGUUUGUUCUGGCCCUACCAGCAGUUCUUAUGUUAAAGUAUGCAGAGACUUUUAUUUUGCCUAUUGUUUACACCCCACAUUGUAGCUGCAGGAAAUCUGUAGAGAGGAGAAGAAGAAAAAGUUAGACAGCAUGGUUAUAAGCAGCAUGGAAGUUUGUUGUUGUGCUCCUCCUUCUGUGUAGCUGUUCAAAGGCAUUCUCUUUUCACAAUUUUCCAUAUAAAGAGUCAACUUCACCCUCGGUGUCCCGGACUUAUUGUGUGGAGUUGUUUAGCUUGCUGGAUAGCUGAAUUAGGACAUUCUGUGAAGCCAGUACAGUGAAAAGAGAGACUUGUGAAGAGCUACUGAUGACCAAACUGCAGUAUUGUGCUGGCAGCCCGAACCAGUACGACAACUGCAACGUCGCUAGGAAGGAUUGAGGUAAAACACAUCCAUAGUAGCCAUGGACAGAGCAAAUGCAUCAGUCAGAUCAUCAGAUUCCCAUAUGAGUAGUGCUUCAUGUAAAGUUGCAUUGGCAGCAGCCACAGCACGUGCCAGAGCCCAAGCUGCGCAUGCAAGAGCUGCUUAUUCACGUAAAGAGAUUGAAUUAAAGAUGGAAAAAGCCCGUCUUGAUGCAACACUCAUCGCCUUAGAAAGGGAGAGAGAGGCAGAAGCCGCCAUGGCUGAAGCAGCAGUAAUGGAGGCUGCAGCCGUAGACUUUGAAGAUGAGUGCCGCAGUCAUGGACCAGAGUUACUGCCCAGGCAAAGUGCAGAACGGCGUACUGAGGAAUAUGUAGAAAGACACAGCCAUCUCAGUGGCAGCUCACAUUCACUCGAAGAUUUACACUCAUGUGAGGAGCAAAUACCCCUCAAUCCCAGUGCUUAUGUAUCUGUAUGUGGAGAUAAGGAAGGUGAACUCCCAACUCCUGAUCACCAUCAGCAAUGUGACCAUUUCGCAGAUGGUAACCCCCAUGUGGGCGAUGUUCGUGCGAAUACACAAGUGUGUACUGAGCCGAUGAGUACCCAGCUGCAUGCAGGCUUACCUGCUCACACACCCCGGCGUGCUGAACAAAGCGCGCUCAGGUCAGGCUUACCUGCUCACACAUUCAGGCACGCUGACCACAGUCCACUCAGGUCAGGCUUACCUGCUUACACCUCCAGGCGUGCUGACCACAGCGCACUCAGGUCAGGCUUACCUGCUCACACAUCCAGGAACGCUGACCACGGUCCACUCAGGUCAGGCUUACCUGCUCACACGUCCGGGCAUGCUCACCACAGCCCACUCAGGUCGGGUUUACCUGCUCACACAUCCAGACACGCUGACUACAGCCAUUUCAGGCCAGGCAUACCAGUUUAUACACACAGGCACAACGACCACAGCCCCACCACAUCUAGGGCUGCACACUGCUCCAGCGACACAGCCACAUCUGACUUAGCGAGGUACCUAGCAUGAAGUCAGCUAGUGUCAUCAGGACUAACCAGGUUUGAUGAUAAGCCAGGAAAUUACUUAUCCUGGAAGAGCUCAUUCCUGAACACCAUUGACAGCCUAGAUCUUACAGCAGGAGAAGAGAUGGAUUUAUUAAUAAGAUGGCUAGGCCCAGAAUCUGCAGCACAUGCAAGGCGUAUUAGAUCAGUGAAUGUGAGAGAUCAAGCAGCAGGCUUAUGGCUUGUGUGGGAGAGACUGGAGGAGAUGUAUGGCUCACCUGAAGCUAUAGAGGGCGCUCUCUUCACUAAACUCGAUCAAUUCCCCAAAAUAUCAAACAAGGAGCAUCAUAAACUUAGGGAGCUGUCUGAUUUGCUGUUAGAGAUUCAUUCUGCAAAACGUGAAGGAUACUUACCUGGCCUAUCCUAUCUCGACACAGCAAGGGGCAUAAACCCAAUAGUGGAGAAACUGCCAUACACGCUCCAGGACAAGUGGGUAAUGGAAGGCUCCCGAUACAAACAAGAAUUCAGGGUCCCUUAUCCUCCAUUUGAAUUCUUUUUACAGUUUGUACACAGGCAAGCAAAGGCACGCAAUGACCCAAGCUUUAGUCUUCCUCUCUUAAGUACAGCAGUCAGGAAAGAUAAGUUCAGUGAAAGCAGCCGAAGGACAGUUUCUGUGCAUAAAACUGACGUUGCACACUCCGAUUCCGCAUCCACUGCCGAAGACCCAGAGAAGCAAUGUCCUAUGCAUCAAAAACCACACUCCCUGCAAGUGUGCCACGGCUUCAGGGAAAAGCUAAUGGAUGAACGAAAGAGAAUACUAAAGGAGAAUAACAUAUGUUUUAAAUGCUGCGCGUCAAAUAAGCAUGUAGCCCGAGACUGUGAGGCAGCCAUCAAAUGUGCUGAGUGUGACAGCCAUAGACACCCAACAGCGCUGCACCCAGGCCCAGCUCCGUGGGUCUCCAAGACCUCAACACCCCCAUCAGGGAAUGGCGGGGAGAGCGAUGAAGCAUUAGAAACUGCUGUGGUUUCCAAAUGCACGGAGGUAUGUGGGGAAGGCUUCAAUGGCAAAUCAUGCUCCAAGAUAUGUCUUGUGACGGUCUACCCGGCAGACGGCCGCAACCAGGGCAAAAGGAUGUACGCCGUGCUGGAUGACCAAAGCAAUAGGUCGCUGGCACGCUCAGAGUUUUUUGAUAUCUUCCAUGUAGGCGGGCCCACAUACUCUUACACUCUAAAAACCUGCUCUGGUGUUGGUGACGCGUCCGGCCGCCGAGCUACAGGCUUCGUCAUCGAACCUGCAGAUGGUGACAUCAGCCUAACUCUGCCCACACUCCUGGAGUGUAACAUGAUUCCCAACAACAGAGACGAAAUCCCCACUCAAGCCGCCGCGCACAGCCACCCUCACCUCAGAGCUAUAGCCAAUGAAAUACCAGAAGUGGACAUGAAUGCUGAGAUCCUGCUGCUUCUGGGCAGGGACAUGCUGAGAGCGCACAAGGUGCGUAAACAGAUCAACGGACCACAUGACGCACCCUACGCACAGAGGCUGGACUUAGGAUGGGUCAUAGUUGGCGAUGUGUGCCUGGGCAGCACACAUCGGCCUCCCGAAGUCACCAGCAUGAAAACAUACAUCCUUGAAAAUGGCAGGCCAAGCCACUUUCCCCCAUGUGAGAACCACUUGAAGGUAAAGGAGAAAAUCUGUUCCCCUAAUCAGCCCCAGCCUGUCAGCCGUGUGACAUACAGUGACAACCUGGGCCUAUCGGUUUUCCAGCAAACCAAGGAUGAUCACAAGCUUGCGCCAUCAAUGGAAGAUCUCCUAUUCCUUGAAACAAUGGAAAAUGAAUUCUUCCAGGAUUCGGCUAACAGUUGGGUGGCCCCGCUACCGUUCCGCCAACCCAGGAUGUGUCUGCCUAAUAACCGCCAAUAUGCCAUGGGUCGGCUGAAGUCUCUGCACCGAACACUCAACAAAAAUCCAGAGAUGAAAUCUCAUUUUAUGGACUUUAUGCAAAAAAUGCUGGACAGCCACCACGCAGAGCUUGCUCCUCCCAUGCAAGAUGGGAAGGAGUAUUGGUACCUGCCCUUUUUUGGUGUCUACCACCCACAAAAACCCUCACAGAUCCGUGUGGUGUUUGAUUCGAGUGCACAGUUUGAAGGCAAGUCACUCAACAACGUGCUGCUCUCUGGGCCGAACAUGAACAAUAGCCUGCUAGGGGUUCUUAUAAGGUUCAGGAAGAACUCAGUUGCAUUCACAGCUGACAUACAACAAAUGUUUCAUUGUUUUCUCGUCCGAGAAGACUGCAGGGAUGUUCUACGCUUUCUCUGGCACAGAGAUAAUGACCUGAGUAAAGAGGUGGUUGACUACAGAAUGAGGGUGCAUGUCUUCGGAAACAGUCCCUCUCCUGCUGUGGCCAUCUACGGAUUACGAAGAGCUGCCCGCCAGGGAGAAGAACUGUAUGGCAGUGAUGUGCGGUACCUCACUGAUCGAGAUUUCUAUGUGGAUGAUGUCCUCAAGUCCGUCUCCACCGUGGAGCAAGCAGUCGAUCUACUCAAAAGAACACAGAAGAUGCUGGCAGCCUCCAACCUCCGGCUCCACAAGGUAGCCUCCAACAAAGCCGAUGUGAUGGAUGCAUUUCCAGUUGAAGAUCGCGCCAAAGACAUCCAGGAUCUUGACCUGUUUGUAGAUGACUUACCAGAUCAGCGAAGCCUCGGGGUGAAAUGGAGCCUCAUGUUAGACCACCUUACCUUUCAUGUUCCUCAGGACGAAAGCCCUUACACACGCAGGGGCGUACUUUCAAUGGUGAACAGCCUCUUCGACCCAUUGGGGUUCUUGGCACCAGUGACUAUCCAGGGUCGGCUAUUGUUAAGAGAGCUGUCAGCACAGGCCUCGGACUGGGACUCACCCCUCCCUGAGGAAAUGCGUGAGAAAUGGACAGAGUGGCGAAGCUCACUGAGCCAUCUCAGCAGCAUUCAUGUGCCCCACACAUACUUUUCCAUUCCCCCCUCUGAGAUACAAAGCAUUGAACUAUGCGUCUUUUCUGAUGCAUCUGUCAAAGCCAUAUCUGCUGUUGCCUACCUGAGAGUCACUAGCACCAAAGGGACAGUAGAACUGGGAUUCGUCAUGGGUAAAGCGCGGCUCGCCCCUCAGCCCGAACUCACAAUCCCCAGGCUUGAACUGUGCGCAGCGGUCAUGGCUGUUGAAAUCGCAGAGGUAAUAAGUGAAGAAAUAGACCUCCCACUCAACUCCGUCAUCUUUUACACAGACAGCAAGGUUGUCCUGGGCUACAUAUUCAACCAGUCAAGGCGCUUCUAUGUAUACGUAAACAACAGAGUUCAGCGUAUAAGACAAUCUAUCAUGCCUGAACAAUGGCAUUAUGUGCCAACGGAUCGGAAUCCUGCAGACCAUGGCUCACGCUCUGUUCCAGCCUCAAGACUCGGCAACACCUCAUGGCUCACAGGCCCCUCGUUUCUCCUCAACUCUAAGCUUCCACCUGAGCAGCACACAGAGUUUGACCUUAUCAACCCCGAUAAGGACGUAGAAAUCCGCCCUGAAGUCAAAACCCUAUCCACACACGUCACUGAGAGCUUCCUUGACUCCAAACGCUGGGAGCGCUUCUCCACAUGGAGAUCACUGAUCCAUGCUGUGGCCAAGCUCAGACACAUAGCCCUGUGUUUCGCUCACUCACAGAAUGAUGGAGACUGUGCUGGGUGGCACAUCUGUAAGAAGGCCAUCUCCAGUGGUACUCUCGAAGAGGCAGAGAACCUUGUCAUCUGGAGUGUGCAGCAUGAAGUCUAUGGAGAGGAGUUCCGUUGCAUCACUGCGAAAUGUGACCUCUCCAAGCAAAGCCCACUCAUCAAGUUGAAUCCCACCAUCGACAGCAGUGGCCUACUGAGAGUAGGUGGUCGUAUCAGUCAGUCAGGCCUUGAAGUAAAGGAAACAAACCCCAUCAUCUUACCUGGCAGUCAUCACAUCACCACUCUUAUUGUACGACACCAUCAUGAGAGAGUGCAGCACCAGGGCAGGCACUUUACAGAGGGCGCUGUCAGAGAGAGCGGCCUGUGGAUAAUGGGAGCAAAGAGGUGUAUUGGGAAGAUAUUAAACAAAUGUGUGAUUUGCAGACGACUCAGAGGCAAGAUUGAGGUGCAGCAAAUGAGUGAACUACCUGCAGAUCGUCUUCAGCCAGGCCCCCCUUUCUCACAUGUGGGCAUGGACAUGUUCGGGCCAUGGGAAGUGUCCGCAAGGAGAACACGCGGGGGUCAGGCUAAUAGUAAGAGAUGGGCAAUCCUGUUCACCUGUUUAUGCACAAGGGCUGUCCACAUCGAAGUGGUUGAAGAGAUGAGCGCUUCUAGUUUCAUCAAUGCUCUGAGGCGUUUCUUUGCGCUGCGCGGCCCAGCCAAACAGUUGCGCUCAGACUGUGGGACCAACUUUGUUGGUGCAUGCCGAGAAAUGGGCAUCAGCAUUGUAGAGCAGAGUGAAGUCCAGAAUUAUCUGCAAGAAGAAAAAUGUUCUUGGAUCUUUAACCCACCCCAUUCAUCCCACAUGGGUGGAGUGUGGGAACGCAUGAUCGGCGUUGCACGACGCAUACUGGACAGUGUGCUGCUGCGUGCUGGACAAGCACAUCUUACGCAUGAAUCACUCACCACUUUCCUUGCCGAGGUCACAGCCAUAAUUAACGCUCGUCCUUUGAUACCAGUCUCAUCUGACCCUGAGCAUCCUCACAUUCUGUCACCCUCCAUCCUGUUGACCCAGAAAUCAGGUACAUCAGUUCCACCUUUGGGAAGCUGCAGUCCAAGGGAGAUCUUAAAGAAUCAGUGGAAACGUGUACAGCUGCUGGCUGACGAGUUCUGGAAUAGGUGGCGCAAGGAGUAUCUUGGCACUCUGCAGUCACGGCACAAGUGGCAACACAAGAGACCAGAUCUCAAGCCAGGAGACGUUGUUCUUCUCAAGGAGAAACAGGUCAGGAGGAAUGAGUGGCCUAUGGGGGUUGUCGUUAAGACAGUCCCAAGCCAGGAUGGACUAAUAAGGAAGGCUGAAGUCAAGAUUGUUCAGCAAGGAACAACAAAGAACUAUUAUAGACCUAUUUCAGAACUAGUGUUUCUUCUAUCCCCAGAGUAAGGUAUCAUUCUAAUGUGUUAUGGUAUCUCUAAGAUACCAGACGGGGAGUGUUCUGGCCCUACCAGCAGUUCUUAUGUUAAAGUAUGCAGAGACUUUUAUUUUGCCUAUUGUUUACACCCCACAUUGUAGCUGCAGGAAAUCUGUAGAGAGGAGAAGAAGAAAAAGUUAGACAGCAUGGUUAUAAGCAGCAUGGAAGUUUGUUGUUGUGCUCCUCCUUCUGUGUAGCUGUUCAAAGGCAUUCUCUUUUCACAAUUUUCCAUAUAAAGAGUCAACUUCACCCUCGGUGUCCCGGACUUAUUGUGUGGAGUUGUUUAGCUUGCUGGAUAGCUGAAUUAGGACAUUCUGUGAAGCCAGUACAGUGUUCCUAGCUGAUCUUAAAGAUGCUAGUGUUGCUUGACUUGGAUGAUCUUUAUAAGAUUCGGUAGUGUCGGUAAAUUGCGAUGGCGGAAAUAUGGCGUUUGACCGACAAGAUGGCGUCUGUUUAUAAUCUGGAUCGGCUGUGAUGUCACAUGCAAGUGGACUAUUGAGUGUAUAAAUGAAUAUACUUUUCAGAAGUUGGACAUUUCUGUAUUGUAAAUCCUUUUUUUGAUUUAUCUUAGGGAAUAUUCUAAUAAUUUGAGAUACUGGAUUUCUGAUUUUCAUGAGCUAUAAGCCAUAAUCAUCAAAAUUAAAACAAAAAAGGCUUUAAAUAUUUCACUUUACAUGUAAUGAAUAUAGAA